GUGUCAGCAGCCGCGGUAAUACAGAGGGUGCGAGCGUUAAUCGGAGUUACUGGGCGUAAAGGGCGCGUAGGCGGUUGGAUGAGUGUGAUGUGAAAGCCCCGGGCUUAACCUGGGAAGUGCAUCGCAAACGAUCUAACUGGAGUAGAUGAGAGGGUGGCGGAAUUUCCGGUGUAGCGGUGAAAUGCGUAGAGAUCGGAAGGAACGUCAAUGGCGAAGGCAGCCACCUGGCAUCAUACUGACGCUGAGGCGCGAAAGCGUGGGGAGCGAACAGGAUUAGAUACCCGCGUAGUCC
rnacentral:rRNA from 1 species